CCUACGGGAGGCUGCAGUGGGGAAUAUUGGACAAUGGGGGGAACCCUGAUCCAGCCAUGCCGCGUGUGUGAAGAAGGCCCUCGGGUUGUAAAGCACUUUCAGUGAGGAAGAACGCCUGGUGGUUAAUACCCAUCAGGAAAGACAUCACUCACAGAAGAAGCACCGGCUAACUCCGUGCCAGCAGCCGCGGUAAUACGGAGGGUGCGAGCGUUAAUCGGAAUUACUGGGCGUAAAGCGCGCGUAGGUGGCUUGAUAAGCCGGUUGUGAAAGCCCCGGGCUCAACCUGGGAACGGCAUCCGGAACUGUCAAGCUAGAGUGCAGGAGAGGAAGGUAGAAUUCGCGGUGUAGCGGUGAAAUGCGUAGAGAUCGGGAGGAAUACCAGUGGCGAAGGCGGCCUUCUGGACUGACACUGACACUGAGGUGCGAAAGCGUGGGUAGCAAACAGGAUUAGAUACCCGGGUAGUC
rnacentral:rRNA from 1 species